ensembl:lncRNA
UGCUUCCAUGCCAUGUGCCUUCAUCAAGCAGGGCUCUCCCUGAGUUACUGAACUCCUGCCAGCAUGUGGUUCAGUGUGCACAUAUGCUUCACAGGAAUAACCACAGUGAUGAAACUGAAGAAGUUGUUCUCCUGUUGGUGAAAGUCAAGGCUCUGCGUAUUGCUGACGCACUCCUUGAAGAGUGCAAACUGGAACAUCUUAAAUCUGUGAUCAGGAAAUAAGGAUUUCUUUGAAGCAGCAGUUCUUUUACUGAAACAAGCCUGAUGCUCACUCUAAAAAAGUGGUAAUGUUUAAUGAGUGGAACCUGCCUACAGUUGUUUUACUGUGAAAUGUUUUGUUUUUUUCCCAAAUGUCUUCUGCUGCCAUCUACUUCUAGAUAAAAUCACAAUCAUUGGUGUAAAGUGCAGGUGUUCUGAAAUAUAUGACAAAGCCUUGUUUCUUCCUUCUUUUGGGAAGGAUGACUGGAACAGGGGAGUGCCUGUAAUGUUACCACUGCUAGUGAGCAGACAACUUCACAAGCUGUUUUCAAUACCACACCAAAUCACUCUGACUGAGGAAUCACUGAACUCUAACUUAUUGUCCACUUAAUGAGAUAACUCUACCAAACUCAGAGAGUUCUUUUUCACUUAGAAAGCUUGUCAUAGCUUUUUGAUCCUGACACAGAAGCAGGAAUUCUGUGUGCAGUGAGGAGUCUGAUCUAUGAAUAUCUACUGAUGAUAAACGGGUGUUCAGGAAGGUAAGAAGUUGCACAGGAGAAUGUCUUACCUACACUUACUCUUGCCCAGAGUAUGAUUUGUAGUGGAGCUUUGUACUUGAGAUAUAGACUGGACUUUGUGCACAGACCUGAAGUUGUCACACACCCUGACUUAUAAGACAAGCAGAAGAGUUACCUUCUAGUAAUUGGCUCUCUAAGGAAGUCUUACUUUUGCUUCCCUGUAAGAUGCAUGAAGCCUCAUUUCUUUGUACUCAUGUUAGAUUUCUAAUGUUGUGUAACUUCAUAUAUGUGUAGUAAAUAUUACUGCUGAAGAAUAAAAAGGAUGUUUUGUUGUAG